CAUUUUGUAUCUGGCUGCUGUUUGCUGCAUUGCUGUCUCUUCCAACAGUGGAGUACUGGAGCUGAUGGGAGAGCGAUCUGCAAUCGAUUUAGCAAGUCUUCACUAGGUCCGCUAAAUCGACAUUUGGUGGAUCCACCGCUGCAGCGUCGAUCCACAGAAGACAGAUAAUUCUCCGAUCUGAGAAAUUAACCUAACCUACCUGCAGUGAAGCAGAAGUGUGAACAUCUAUAGUGGGGGCUUCGGUACAGUACAAAGAUCCAUCCUCC